UACGAAGGGGGCUAGCGUUGCUCGGAAUCACUGGGCGUAAAGCGCACGUAGGCGGAUUGUUAAGUCAGGGGUGAAAUCCUGGAGCUCAACUCCAGAACUGCCUUUGAUACUGGCGAUCUCGAGUCCGGGAGAGGUGAGUGGAACUGCGAGUGUAGAGGUGAAAUUCGUAGAUAUUCGCAAGAACACCAGUGGCGAAGGCGGACUCACUGGCCCGGUACUGACGCUGAGGUGCGAAAGCGUGGGGAGCAACAGGAUUAAGAUACCCGGUAG
rnacentral:rRNA from 1 species